ensembl:rRNA 5S_rRNA 5S ribosomal RNA
GUCUACGGCCAUACCACCCAAGCUCUGCUCUCAGAGGCUAAGCAGGGUCCGGUCUGGUUAUUACUUGGAGGGGACACCGCCUGGGAAUACCGGCUGCCGUAGGUU